ensembl:lncRNA
GUUAAAUCCAGCUGGUGACCGGUCACGAGUGGUGUUCCCCAGGGGUCAGUGCUGGGGCCUGUCCUGUUUAAUAUCUUUAUUGAUGACCUGGAUGAGGACAUUGAGUGCGCCCUCAGUAAGUUUGCAGAUGACACCAAACUGGCUGGAAGUGUCGAUCUGCCUGAGCGUAGCGAGGCCAUACAGAGGGAUCUGGAUAGGCUGGAUAGCUGGGCUGAAGCCAAUGGGAUGGGAUUCAACAAGACCAAAUGGCAGGUCCUGCACUUUGGCCACAAUAACCCCAGUGUUUGAAGCAAAGCAGAUUGUAAGCCUAUCUUGUAGCAACGCCAGCCAACACACUUCACUAAUAGCAACCAGAAUAGCUUGGAAAUUGUAUGUAUAUGUUUUGCUUACAUUAAAUUUGUAAUUAUUGGAAAAGUAUUUAUUUUAAGCCUAUAAGUCCAAAGAUUGUACUUCUGAAACCAGGAGAAAAUAACUUUUACUAUAGAAUAAUUUUAAAAAUUACUUAAAAUGCUUAUUUUGUUAUUUCCAAAACUCAGAAAUGUAACAGUGAUGUUUCUACAAUGAAUUGUGUUUCAUUUGAAUUGUUAAACUAUGCUGGAACAAAACAGUCAAUCAUGUAUCAUUCUCUGAGAGCAGUUAAAUGCUCACUUAUCUGAGCUGCUAAACAGACAAUUGAAAGGCAUGAUCCUGGCAAAGCUUCAUGCAUGCAAAAAUUUUGGAAUAGUAAUAUGUAAUACAUCCUCCAUUAUACAGUUAUCCCACAGUAUCUACAGAUGAUGUGUGUACCCCCGUGGUCUUGGAUACUUAAUUCUAAGAGCUGCUCACUCUGUUUGUCUCCUGCACUGAGGAAAAGAAAAUGAAAGAAUGCAUCAGCACAGUUGAAGGAAGUUAUAUUGUUCAAGAUCCAAACAGUUUUCCAGCUAAGAUAUAAACCAGAAAUCAUCUGUGUGAGAAAGAUAUGAUUGAGGCACUCAUAUCAAAUCUACCUACUGUUGCAUAUACAUAUACAUAUUUACAUACACACACACAUGCAUUUAGAUGGUUUGGGCGCUUGGGUUUUUGUAUCACGUAACUAUAAUAAAGCAAGGUUCCUUAUAACCUUAGAUAAUUUUGCUUUUCAAUAACUGAAUUUUUCUCAGAAAAGUGAGUAAAAAUCUUCUCUGGAUUGUCUUGCAGAGGAAGUUCUUUUCCCUCACCUGAUUAGCAUUUUAUGGAGACUAAAUAAGUAAGGAAGCUGAAAGGUAACUACGAGUGGCAGAAAGAUUUUUCUCAUCCCUCUACUGAAGAACAAAUAACCAUUUACAGUUGGAUUAUUUUCAUAUCUUGUGCUUUUUUUUUUUUU